AACGAACGCUGGCGGCAUGCUUAACACAUGCAAGUCGAACGAGACCUCCGGGUCUAGUGGCGCACGGGUGCGUACCGCGUGGGAACCUGCCCUUAGGUUCGGAAUAACUCCCCGAAAGGGGUGCUAAUACCGGAUAAUGUCUUCGGACCAAAGAUUUUUCGCUGUUGGAUGGGCCCGCGUUGGAUUAGCUAGUUGGUAGGGUAAUAGCAUACCAAGGCGUCGAUCCAUAGCUGGUCUGAGAGGAUGAUCAGCCACACUGGGACUGCGACACGGCCCAGACUCGUACGGGAGGGAGGAGAGGGGAAUAUUGGGGGAGGAGCCAAAGCCUGAUCCAGCAAUGCCGGGUGAGUGGUGAAGGGCUUAGGGAUGUAAAGCUGUUUUAGCCGAGAUGAUAGUGACGGUACCGGGAGAAUAAGCACCGGCUAACUACGUG
rnacentral:rRNA from 1 species